rnacentral:misc_RNA from 1 species
UACGGAGAAGGCAAGCGUUACCCGGAAUUACUGGGCGUAAAGCGUUGCGUAGGCGGAUAUGCAAGUGAAGUGCGAAAUCCUGCGGCUCAACCGCAGGCUUGUACUUCAAACUGCAUACCUAGAGGACAGUAGAGGUGAGCGGAAUUGCUUAUGUAGGAGUGAUAUCCGUAGAUAUAAGCAAGAACACCGAUGGCGAAAGCAGCUCACUGGACUGAUCCUGACGCUGAGGCACGAAAGCGUGGGGAGCGAACCGG